UGAACCGGCAACCCUCCGACUGCCAGACAAUCGGUCUUACCUCCUGAGCUAUGUCGCCCCUGUACGAAUGAUUUGAAUCCAUCAGAUCAACUAGUGCUUUUAUUUUAUGUAAUGUGUUACAUGGCAACUGAUUUGAUUAGAAAGGGUCGCUUUUUAAAUUUUAUUGACUGAACUCAAUGAAAUGUCAAUGAAAUGACUUGCUUGUGGAGCACUUUGUGUCACAUUUGUGUAUGAAAGGUGGCAUACAAGUAAAGCACAGGUGUCAAACUUAAGUCCUGGUUCAUUUAAGCCGCUGAUUGGCUAAGGGAUCCGCACGGCUUAUUCUCAAGGCCUUAAUUGGCAGCUCGUUUAAAGAAAAACACGAAAACCCUCAGACACUGUGGCCUCUUUGGGAUUCAGUUUGAUGCCCUUGAAUUAAAGUUCAAGGGCAUCAAACUGAACUCUAUGAGUUGUCGCACUAUUUUGAGACAGUAUGACAGUCAGCGUUACUGUGAUAUAUUUAAAGUCACACAAAAAAAAAACUAAAAGGAAUUAAUUUGGACUGUUCUAUCUCCAUUGCGGCUUGUGAAUUUUGUGAUUGGUUUUUCAGUUCACAAACUCAAUGCAGCGAAAGAUGUGGACAUCUUGUAGAAUGGUACGGGCUCCUUUUCCCCAGAGUGCAUGACAAGAAUGUUUUUCCCGGAGCGUAGGGCUUCAGGUGCCAAGCUUCAGAGAAGUUUUACCUGCGGCAGGUGUGAAGUGGCCUCUCAAAUAAGCACACGUCCCAGCUGCUGUUUCCUGUGGAACUGGGAACAACACUGCAGCAAACCAGAGAGCCAGUGACGAGACACUGAAAAAUAAAAGAGGCAAUGGCAACGAGAAGUGAGCGUCAGGUCAUAAAACACGUUCCCCACACAAAAAACAAGCCGGGGCCCAGUCACUGAGGAGUGGCCCACGCACUGGCUACCUGUGUAGGAUCUAUUUACAGGUGACCUGUGGCUCACAACAUAGUAUCAGCAUCCCAAGGUAGUGAAAAGUAGUGGGAGUUACAAUCACCCCAACACCAACAGCACCUCAAAAAAAAAAAGGAAUUCAUUCCUACCUGACAGAGUGAUGGACACACUCAGUUAUGCUUGGAUACAGUUUUCAAAAACAAUGCUUUGUGAUUCAUUUUUUCCCAUCUGUCUUCCAGCUGUUUCAUGUUUUUUUUUACAGCUUGUUUACAGUCCUCUCUGGCUGGCGAAUCUUUUAAACUGUGAAGAUCUGAAACAAAUAUAAGCACACACUGAGGGGUCCCUUUGGAAAGAAAAAAAAAAACACACUUGAUUGUUGUAAUCUGAUGACAUCUGGGAAAAGUGAACAUGUUGGUGGAGUUCUCUCUGUUUUUGGUUUUGAUGGUGUAUUACUAAACAGACGAUACAAGUUUGUAGAGUAUUUUCUGCUCAUUUUCUUGCAUUAUACUGAUUUGAUAUAUGUUUUUUUUUUUUUUUUGUGGACAAAGCUGUAAAGAAUGGAAUGAAAUGGAAACCCUGUCGGGACUUGAAUAUACCUGUCUGGCUAACACUUACCACCGCAGGGUAUGGUAAAUUAGCCUCUUUUUUUGUAAAUCAUGCUUAUUUCACCCUGAGUUGCAAGUUCAUGGUAGUUAGAGACAA